rnacentral:rRNA from 1 species
GAGUUUGAUCCUGGCUCAGAUUGAACGCUGGCGGCAGGCCUAACACAUGCAAGUCGAGCGGCAGCGGGAAAGUAGCUUGCUACUUUUGCCGGCGAGCGGCGGACGGGUGAGUAAUGCCUGGGGAUCUGCCCAGUCGAGGGGGAUAACUACUGGAAACGGUAGCUAAUACCGCAUACGCCCUACGGGGGAAAGCAGGGGACCUUCGGGCCUUGCGCGAUUGGAUGAACCCAGGUGGGAUUAGCUAGUUGGUGAGGUAAUGGCUCACCAAGGCGACGAUCCCUAGCUGGUCUGAGAGGAUGAUCAGCCACACUGGAACUGAGACACGGUCCAGACUCCUACGGGAGGCAGCAGUGGGGAAUAUUGCACAAUGGGGGAAACCCUGAUGCAGCCAUGCCGCGUGUGUGAAGAAGGCCUUCGGGUUGUAAAGCACUUUCAGCGAGGAGGAAAGGUUGGUGGUUAAUACCUGCCAGCUGUGACGUUACUC